GGGCCCUUAGCUCAGUUGGUUAGAGCAACCGGCUCAUAACCGGACGGUCCCAGGUUCGAGUCCUGGAGGGCCCA
rnacentral:tRNA from 3 species